rnacentral:lncRNA from 1 species
UGGCAAUCUAUGAAGGUUCAAAUAUUAUUUAUAAAAUAGUUUUUUUUUUCUGUAAAUAAUUAAGGUUAAGAUUUCAAAUACAUCUAAGUAAUGUGGAUAAGUUAAACACCUCAUAAUUAGAGAAAACUACAAAAUGUAUGACACAAUUCUAUAUCCUAUUUUCUUGCUCACCAAACAGGAACUGAACUCAAUUCUGCACCUUGAAAGCAUAACAAUGCUGAUCAAGUAAUAUAAAAUGAGGCUUGUGCAUCAGCUAGUUUGGAAUAAAAGAAUAUACAAGAACGCUGGCCAUUCAUAGAAAUACUAUUGAUUGUCACAAUAAAAAAGUUCAAAUUCUUUGAAAUGUUUGAUCAACCCUUAAAAUCUCAUAUAUGUGGGUGGAUUCUAAUGACAGGCAGACUGCUUAUAACCUGGGAACAGGGCGAGGAAGGUCCCAGUCGGCCACGAUGUGGUUACGGGUGAUCUCCCUGAGUGAACGGCAACCACUUAAUGCCAUUGUUAGCUCAAACUCCUCGCGAAGCAUCUGCAAUACUUUCCUGAUUCCAGCUUCUCCUUCUGCUGCCAAUGAGAAUACCACUGGCCUUCCGAUCUGAAAUUUUCAAAUAAUGUAUGAAAAGUAAGAUUAUUUAUAUCCCAAUUAUAAAAAAAAAAAAAAGACGAGAUUGAUGAGUUAGAUUAUUGGUUUUACUAGUUAGGACUAUAUGUACUUACAAAUAUUCCAGAUGCUCCUAGUGCCAAUGCCUUGAAAACAUCUGUUCCGCGGCGAACUCCACCAUCAAGGAAAACAGGAACUCUGCCUUGUGCAGCUUUCACAACCUGUAAUUCAGUUGCAUCCAUAAUGUAAACAUUGGAAGUUUCAGUAUAAGCAAAGACACAUAACCAUUAAAGAGGAGGUUAUUUCAGUUAUUAUUUUUGAAAAAGUAAAAAAGGUUUCAAUUUCAAGGAGAAAAUAAGUAAUUACAAGGAAAAAGAAAAAGGAUUUAAAGAUGAUAAUCUCCAAAAUUGGUGAAUGUUCUUGAACUUGUUAAAAUUACUUGCAAUUGGAAUAAAUUAAUUUUACAAGAACCAACAUUCAUACCUCUUCCAAAGCCAUAAUAGUUGCAGGAACAUAAUCAAGCUGGCGAGCUCCGUGAUUGGAGACGAUGAUUCCUGCAGCUCCAUUCUGUAUGGCUAGUCUUGCUGCACCAAUUACCAAAAUAUGAAUAUCGAGGGAUUUUUAAGAAUUUCACUUUUUUUUUUUUUUUUUUUUUUUUUUGCUCCUCUAUCUUACUGUAUGGUGGAAGAAGAAUUUGUUAGUAUUCUUACCAUCCUCAGCAGUAAGGACACCCUUAACCAGGAUUGGCAAUGAUGUGAUUGUCUGAAGCCACUUCACAUCCUGUCCAAAUUGCCGAAGAAGAAAUUUAACAAAAAGAUCAUGUUUAUGUCCUCAGCUCAAGAAUGUAAAAAUCAUUUUACGGAACCCUACCUUCCAGCUAAGUGUCCGGUCAAUUUGGCCAGCAACAUAUGAAGCUAGUCCAGAAUCAUCAGCCUGCAGAGUCAAUAAACCUCAACUCAAGAACAUAAAAGCAAUACACAGAAAAAUGGUAUCCUAAAUUUAGUCAAUCAGCCAUACCUUGUCCAUUUGGCCAAGAUUCAAGCCCUCAAAAUUCUUCAAAGUCAAAAAUGGUGGCAAGGUAAAUCUGUGAUAAAAUACAUUGAAAAAUUAUGCACUUCCUAUAAAAUAGCGAACUAAAUUUAGUUGACCUUGAUUAUUCUAAAUUACCUAACAAGAAACCUGUGUAAAUAUUUCUGAACAUUUUUAUUAUAUAUUUAAGAUUUUCACCUGUUCUUGAUAUCAGCUUCUCUCCGGCCAAGUCUUGGAGUGUCCACAGUGAGGGCGAUAGCCUUGAAACCAGCCCUCUCAGCCCUUCUCACAAGCUGAGCUACAACAUUCCUGUCUUUGUAGACCUGAAUGAUAAGAAAAUAAAAGGGACAGAAUUAAGUCAACUCUCAAGGAUAAUGCAAUUAUAAAACAUUUCAACCAUACAGAUUAUACUAUAAUAUGUUAUGAAUUGCAGAGGCCUGCUUGUGGGAAUGGAAUACUUUUCUUUUUUUUUUUUUUUCCAACUUUCAUAUCACCAGAAAAUUAGUAACUGAAACAGUUUUUGUAGAAAAAAGGUAAAAGUAUUUGUCUAUAUUAAUUUACAGUCAUAAUGCUGAUGAAAAUAGCAACAAAAACUGAUAAGAAACAGAAAAAUGAUUUCUCAAACUCACAUAGAGCUGGAAAAAGCGAAUGCCAGGCCCAGUUGAAGCAACCUCCUCUACACUGGAAGUAGCCCAUGAGGAUAAUGUCUGAGACACAAAAAAAAAAGAUCAACUGAAUUAGGCACAGAAAAAUACCAAUUCAAAGUACAUUAACAACUCUGAGCCAAGCAGGCUACUGCAGUUUGCUAAUAAAAACUAGUAUUAUGAACAAACUUUUCAAAAUUUUAAAUGUACAAAAGAUAAGGUGAGAAAAAUCAGACCAUAAUUGUGCCAGCUGCUGAAGCUGCCCUUGCUGUGGCAUACUCUCCUGCAAUGAUAUAUCAAUUCCCAAUCAGAAGCACUCUUUUUUUUUUCCUUUUCCAUGUUCAGUGGCCAGUAAUAGAACAGAGGAAGGAAAAAGAGAACUCAAUAGGAAUUUGUUAUCAACUGAAGAAUAACAUAACGCCUAAUUUUUCAACGAUCAGUUUUUUGAAACCAUAUUUGACACUUCAUGCUGAAGCUAGCAUAGCACAGAAAGCUGUGUACUGGGUUCUUCUGCUCUAAGUGUUAAUUAGGCCUGUUUUUUUCAGGGAUAUCUUAUAAACAUUCAACUUUCCUGGUCAUGAUUAUCCUGGGUUUCAUGCUCAUAUCCUUUUAUGCCUUAACGUGCCAGGAAGUCCAGAUAUGUAGACAUGAAUGUACGAGUUAAUACACUAAGAAAUCAAUUCAUAUGUUACAUGUGUUUGUAUUCAAUCAAUUCCACUUAAAGAAAACCAAGUAAUUGAAGAUAGGAGCAUAUACCUUCAGGGUGAGCCAUUUUUUGCAUGGCUGUUGGAGCAAUCAUGAUAGGCAUGGAAAUUUUGAAGCCCAAGACACUUGUGGUCAUGUCAAUCUUGCUCACAUCAAUAAGAAUGCGGGGUCGAAAUCUAUUUAAGGGAAAAAUAUAGAAUGAGCACACCAAGAUUAAAUCUGAAGUAAGAUAGAGCACUUGAUAUAAGGUAAAAAAAAAAAGUAGCAGACAACUUAAGAAUUGCUUAAGCAAAACCUUCACAAAAAUGUUAAAAUAUGUCUAUGAAUUGUUUGAUAUAAUCAAAACCAAAAGAAUAGCCACGAUUAUUUAAACGGGAAUAUGAAUGAGCUCACAGAAUUCGAGAGAAAGCAUUGCGAUUCUCCUUGAGAGUCCACUGAUCUUCUGCUCCUGAUGCAUAGUAGUCAAAAACCAUCUUUGGCAAUUUCUGCCUAGCAAUUUCCUCAUAUUCCAUAACAUUGGUUAUCUCCAUCUUUCCAAAUUGAUUAUUUGUACCUUAACACAAUAUUUUCUGAAAAAAAAAGAAUAUUCCAAGUGAUUUUAUGAGUAUCACUUCUAUUUCACACAGAAUAUGAACAUAAUCACAUAUAGCAUCUCAUAAGUGUACUUCAAAGACAAUGAUACUUGUGAAUAAUGGAAUCCAAUAUGAAAUUUUUGAAGGAAGAUAAAAGAAUAAGAAACUAUCCAUAAAAAAAGUUAAGAAGGAAACAGGAAAUUACACAUGGGAAAAUUCUACCAGAAAAGAAAACGUAAUAAAAGAAAAUUCGAAGUCCCCUGUAAUUGCACUAAAUGAGCUGCUUUAGUUAGCGAAUGCAAGAUUCAAGAAUCCUCCAAUAACUAAAGGAGAAGGAUUCUCCUACAUGUCUCGUAUCUUGAUAGCGGAUGACACUUUAUAGAUUAUAUUAAAUUAAAAUCCAAUACAAGAACUCUGUUUAGAUAAAGAAAAAGAGUAGCUUGGUUAAGCUCAGGGGUUUACAGCUUACACUCCAGAAGAAUAUGUUAUAAGCUUGUGAAUUGUUAGAAUUUGAAUAAAUCAAACAGCAAAAUCACAAUUAUGUGAAAUUAAAUCCUAUAGAUAAGGAAAACAAAACUAGAAACCGAAUAUCAUCGACUCUGAUGAAUACCCACGUGAAGAAACCAUCAAUAGUUAACAGUUAAAUCAUGCGAGUCAAAUAACGAAUUCAACAACAAAGUAUAACAUGAUUAAUGAAGAUUACAAAAACCCGAACUGUCAGUUCAGACCCAAAUGAUAGUAAACUCACAGACCAAUAAGAUUAAACAGCAAAAGGUAAAAGCCCCACAACAUGGGAGGUAAUUGAGGAAAUAUAAACAUCAAAAUAUAUAUAAAGAAAAAGUAAUAUAAGAGUGAAGCGAGAAAGAGAAGAAAGAACAGACCUUGGCCAAACUCUACCAAUAGGAGAGGGAGAAAAUGGAAAGAGCUAAUGAAAGAAAGAGUGAAUAUAAUGCUGGAGAGAGACACGAGGAAGUCUGGAGCUCAAAAGUGAUACGCAAGAAAACAAAUAAGGUAUGCGGAGAAAUAUUAAAAAAUGGACAAAAAGACAAAAAGGGUGGGGAUCAAAUGAGAGAGAUGAGUCACAGAGAGAGCUGGAAGGAUUAGUUUUUCAAGGUGAGUAUUUGUAGCCAAAUCUGUUUCAUGGAAAUUUGAGACUUGUGUGGAGAGCAAUUUUGUUGGAUUAUCACUUCACAAUGCUCAUUCUUUUUUCUUUUUUUAAUUUAUUUUGUACUGAGAAUAUUGUCAUACAUGUAUACAUUUAUUAUUGUGCAUUAAUGCAAUAAGAAUGUUUAACAUUUUGGAUGAAGUCAAAAAAGCAUAUCUAUCUUUUCUAUUGUUCGAUAAUGUAGUAUCAAUAUCAAUAUUUAGAGUUUGAGACUCUGAAUUAUACAACAUUACUCUCUCUUUGACGAUGAAACGCUAGUAAAUAACUAUAUUAAUUGCUAUUAAAAUAAUUAAUUUACACAAUAUGUUCUAAUUCGAAAGGAUUAACUAGUGCAGAUGUUAAGGAUACAACACUUUAAUUGAGAAUAUUAUUUGGAUAUGCAAAAAGAUGGAAAGGGUCACUGUCAAUAUCCCCAAAAAUACAAUUUAGUUGAUAAGACAAUUUAUUUUCUUGCUCUAGUAUCAGAAAUUUUCCUUUUCUGUGAAUUUGCAAAUUCUUUAGUCUUUAUAUAUAUGUAAAAUAAGCUUUUAUGACAUUUUUUAAUAAUGAUAUUAAGAUGAAAUGAGUAAUUAGAUGAGGGAAAACAAGGAGUUACUAGUUGACAAUCUCUUUCUAAGUUGUGGUUGAUGAAAUAUGAGAAUAACUAAUGCAUAACAAGUAGGCAAUUGCUCCAGUUUUUGGAGGUCAAGAAAUGCAAAACAAAAGCAAUUCUGCACUGGGUCACAUGAAAAUUGCUGAGUGAUUUUAAUUUUAUAAUAAAUAAUUAUCCAGAAUUAUGAUAAUUAAUAACCAAUCAAAUACAAAAUUUCAAUGUAGGAAAUUGGAUAGGCCCAUCUGUGUAUUGACUGGUUGAUAUUAUUCACAUGCUUGGACAUAAAAUGACAAUUAUUUGCAGGUGAUGGAGAUUUGGGAUAGCUUAGCUGCCUCACAAAAUUCAGCAAAGAUAAGAGUAUUCAGUCCUCUAUCUUAUGGCUAAGAUAAUGCAUGGCCAUGUGCAAGGAGUUAAGUAAAUAUAAAUGGAUAAUAAAUUAAUUUUAUCAAAUGGGGUGAAGGUAAAAUAAAUGCAUUUUGUUUUGCUUAUCAAGACCCAAUUUGGCAAAUAAUCCAAAUUCAAUUUGAAGAUCAAAACAAAACACAGGAGAAUGUGAAUAGAUGCUUCUGACAUAUAUAAGCAUUUUUAGUUUAUUGAAAAGAGAAUUUUGAAUUCUAUUAUCUUAGUACUUUUGAUUAUUUAAUGUAAAUAUACAUAUAUUGUUCUUGCAAGUGGAAGUAAAACAAAUAAUUUCAGUACUACUUUGCUCUUUAGUCCUUUAUUCAUCAAAAUAUAUCCAUAAUCUAUAUAUAUAUAUAUAUAUAUUGGAAAAUAUACAACCAAGAAUUUUAGAUUUAAAAAUAUUUAUUAAUAAUUAAAUUUAAUUAUAAUGUUGCAAUUAAAGCAAGGGUAAGAAUAUUCUUUCUGAAUAAUCAAAUACUAAUAAGAAAUUAGAAAGGGUUUAAUUGCUUAUAUUUCAACGAUGAUGUAAAAAAAAAAAAUAUUUCGGAAUAAUCAAGAACUUAAGGCGGCUUUGAUUGCUUAUAUUUUCAAAUUCUGGGGGCUUAGAAUUAAGAAUGCCAAACCAUAUCCUUUCUGAUAAUUUCUGCUGACUACUUUUGUUAUGUAUUUAAAAAGAGUCACGGCAACGCUCUGCUCUGCCUAGGACUAUUGUGGUUUUAGUCUAUAUAACUUUAUAUUUAAAACAGAAAUUAUAAGAAAAUAUGUAUUUUUUAUUAUUAUUUUUCAAAAUUUUUAAUUUCAAACUAAUUGUUGAUUUUUUUUUUUUUAAUGGAGUUGAUUAGUUGUGGAAGUGAGUAUUCUAACAGUUUUAAUCGAAAUUUCGGUUUGAUUUUUCCGAUUUAAUUAUUUAUAUUAAUCAGUUCAAUUCGGUUUAUUUUAUGUUUUAAUGAACCUUGAGUUUUCUGAUUAGUUUGGUUUUGUUUAUAGAAAAUCGACAAUUAACUGAAGAACCAAAAUUAAACUUCUGCAGUCUAAAAGGAAUAAUAGUCCAACUCAGCUAUUUUUAAGAAAGCUUCAACAAUUAGAUGGAUUUCUUAAAAAUUCUGUUAUAUUAUAUAGUUUAUAAAUUGGGUCAGGUUGGGCUUUUCUUGUUCAUUUUAAUCUUUUUGGUCUAGGUCCAUUGGGCUUUUAAUGCAUAAUUUUUUUAGGUCUGUGCAAUGAAUAUAUAUUCAACUCACGCUAAUUAGGCUUCAUGUUCAACCAGUGUAAUGAAUACUAUUUUUUUGAAUGGGUAAUUAACUAUUUAAUCCCUCAUGUUUGUACAUAAUUACAAUUCCAUUUCUAUUGCUUGAAAAAUUUAUUGAUUAAUUAAUCCCUAAGGUAUAAUUCCUUAAUUUAAAAAGUAGAAUCAUUUCAGAGGUUAAGCGUAAUAUUUGAAUGUUUGAUCUUUCAACUUCAAUAUAUUUGUUUAGUUUCUCAUAUUUAUUAUUGAUUAAUAUUUAGUCCUUCACUCAAUCGGUAAAAUAUUAAAUUAAAAAAAAAAAGAUUCAAGAUAGCUGUUAAUUUGAAGUUCCCAGAUAAGUUUGUGUAUAUAUAAUUAUAAAUACUAUUUCUUUUUCUGAAAGACUGGUACAGAAAAUUACACUCCCUGGUGGAACAACACAAUCAGCUUUCAUGUUCCUCCUUCGCUUAUGAAACAUCAAAAUCAAACCACAAAAGGGGAAAAAAAUAUUAAAUAUUUAAAGAGCAAACUGUAAAUAUUUUUCACCUUUCAAUGCAAAAAUUUCACUUCAACUUUGCAUACUAUGUACCCAUCUAAACAUAUUUGACACCAAUAUAGUAUAUCUAGCCAUGAAAAAACUCAUAAAUUUCCAUUACAAGCAUUCAUAGAAAAAGCCAGUUGUCAUACAAAAUAUACAGUGUUACAAAAAGAAAAGCCAAAAAGAAAGAACAAAAAUACAUAAAACAACCAAGAAUUUUAGAUUUAAAAAUAUUUAUUAAUAAUUAAAUUUAAUUAUAAUGUUGCAAUUAAAGCAAGGGUAAGAAUAUUCUUUCUGAAUAAUCAAAUACUAAUAAGAAAUUAGAAAGGGUUUAAUUGCUUAUAUUUCAACGAUGAUGUAAAAAAAAAAAAUAUUUCGGAAUAAUCAAGAACUUAAGGCGGCUUUGAUUGCUUAUAUUUUCAAAUUCUGGGGGCUUAGAAUUAAGAAUGCCAAACCAUAUCCUUUCUGAUAAUUUCUGCUGACUACUUUUGUUAUGUAUUUAAAAAGAGUCACGGCAACGCUCUGCUCUGCCUAGGACUAUUGUGGUUUUAGUCUAUAUAACUUUAUAUUUAAAACAGAAAUUAUAAGAAAAUAUGUAUUUUUUAUUAUUAUUUUUCAAAAUUUUUAAUUUCAAACUAAUUGUUGAUUUUUUUUUUUUUAAUGGAGUUGAUUAGUUGUGGAAGUGAGUAUUCUAACAGUUUUAAUCGAAAUUUCGGUUUGAUUUUUCCGAUUUAAUUAUUUAUAUUAAUCAGUUCAAUUCGGUUUAUUUUAUGUUUUAAUGAACCUUGAGUUUUCUGAUUAGUUUGGUUUUGUUUAUAGAAAAUCGACAAUUAACUGAAGAACCAAAAUUAAACUUCUGCAGUCUAAAAGGAAUAAUAGUCCAACUCAGCUAUUUUUAAGAAAGCUUCAACAAUUAGAUGGAUUUCUUAAAAAUUCUGUUAUAUUAUAUAGUUUAUAAAUUGGGUCAGGUUGGGCUUUUCUUGUUCAUUUUAAUCUUUUUGGUCUAGGUCCAUUGGGCUUUUAAUGCAUAAUUUUUUUAGGUCUGUGCAAUGAAUAUAUAUUCAACUCACGCUAAUUAGGCUUCAUGUUCAACCAGUGUAAUGAAUACUAUUUUUUUGAAUGGGUAAUUAACUAUUUAAUCCCUCAUGUUUGUACAUAAUUACAAUUCCAUUUCUAUUGCUUGAAAAAUUUAUUGAUUAAUUAAUCCCUAAGGUAUAAUUCCUUAAUUUAAAAAGUAGAAUCAUUUCAGAGGUUAAGCGUAAUAUUUGAAUGUUUGAUCUUUCAACUUCAAUAUAUUUGUUUAGUUUCUCAUAUUUAUUAUUGAUUAAUAUUUAGUCCUUCACUCAAUCGGUAAAAUAUUAAAUUAAAAAAAAAAAGAUUCAAGAUAGCUGUUAAUUUGAAGUUCCCAGAUAAGUUUGUGUAUAUAUAAUUAUAAAUACUAUUUCUUUUUCUGAAAGACUGGUACAGAAAAUUACACUCCCUGGUGGAACAACACAAUCAGCUUUCAUGUUCCUCCUUCGCUUAUGAAACAUCAAAAUCAAACCACAAAAGGGGAAAAAAAUAUUAAAUAUUUAAAGAGCAAACUGUAAAUAUUUUUCACCUUUCAAUGCAAAAAUUUCACUUCAACUUUGCAUACUAUGUACCCAUCUAAACAUAUUUGACACCAAUAUAGUAUAUCUAGCCAUGAAAAAACUCAUAAAUUUCCAUUACAAGCAUUCAUAGAAAAAGCCAGUUGUCAUACAAAAUAUACAGUGUUACAAAAAGAAAAGCCAAAAAGAAAGAACAAAAAUACAUAAAACAAGAAGCUUUUGAUGAUCCAAGCAUGGUGGAACAGCAUUUGAACUUAUGUUUCCAUGGAACCGAGAAGGUUCCAUCCCUUUGGACUCAUCUGGGUUUUCUUCAGGACCGUCAUUGUCUAUUUUACCCGAGCAAACUGGAGUCUUUAAAUAUAGAGAAAUUUUUUUCUUACUGUAAGUUCCAUUGCUUGUACACAAUCCAAUAUUUCCUCUAACAUCUAAUCUUUUGCCAAGUCUAAUAAUAAACUCUUCAGGAAGUAGUAAUUCUCCACUUAGCUUAUUGUUGCUCACAUUUACUUGGUCUAGAUUUGGAAGAAACCCUAAACUUGAAGGGAUUGUCCCAAUAAGGGUGUUGUUGUCUAAAGAAAGGGCAGUGAGAUUUUUCAAUGAGGACAAAGAAUUUGGUAUGGUGCCUCUUAAACCACAACCUGCCAAACUCAUCGAUGUUAGUCUUUUAAGUGACCCCACAAACAAGGGUAUCCCUGAAUUUAUAGGGUUGUGGUCUGCUAUCAAGUAUUGUAACUGCUGCAAACCUGAGAAAGUUUCAGGGAUUGGUCCAUUCAUGAAAUUAUGACUUAAAUCGAGCAAGACUAACCUCUUUAGCUUUCCCAAUUCUGGAGGUAUUCUUCCAACAAUAUUGUUAGAUCCCAAAUCAAUUUUCUGCAGAAGCUGAAGUUGCCCUAAAGAAUGAGGAACCUGCCCUUCAAGGUUAUUAAAGCUUAAAUCCAAAAUGGUUAAGCUUUUUAACCCAUCAAUCCUUUUAGGGAUUUCACCACUUAAAUUAUUGUAACUGAGGUCCAGUUGCUCUAAAUUUACUAACCCACUAAUCUCAUUAGGGAUAUUUCCAAGCAGAUUAUUCUGGGACAGACUUAGAACUCUUAAGCUUGUAAUUUGCCCUAAACUUGAAGGUAUAUCCCCAGAGAGAGAUGGGUUAGAACCAAGAGAUAAAUGCUCUAAAGAAGAUAAAGAAUCAAAAAGAGUAGGAGAAAGAAUAGCUGGCGAGUUUAAAAAACAGUUGAAAAUAGAAAGAACUUUUAAGUAAGGUAGUUUUUGUAAGGAGUUUGAUAGAUAAGCAGAAGAUUUACAUGGAGGGUUAACAAUAUCAGGACCAAUAUGAAUUUUUGUGACAUGAAAGACAGGAGGGUUGUCUUUAUUUUCAUCAAAAGCUAUUUCACAUUGAAUACCAGGCCAUGGUGUGUCAGUGCAUGGUUGUGGGUGAAGUUGAGCCCAAAUAGGAUCAUCUAAAAGAGCAUCAAAAACCUCAAAAACUCCUAAAAGCUCUUCUUUAUCCAUCACCAUAUGGUCACUCUCAUUUCUUGAUGAUAAUGCAAUCACCUCACCUGCUAAAACAAGAAACCCAAGAAAGAAAUAAAGAAAUAAAGAAGAAGCCAUGAGAGAAGCAAGAAACUAAUUGCUAACAAGAGAGACCUUGUCCUGUAGGUAACGAAUAACAAGAGAAACCUGGUCUGUAUUUAUAUUAUAUAAUGAUGGGAAAGAAAAGCAAGUGAUGACUAGGCCAAUCCUGUCCUCUCGUACUGGAUCCAGCACUUGAGCUAUUAUUCCCUUUAAUCCUCUUAAUUCUUUGAGUCCAUUGUAAAAUAUUAUUUUAUAUAUGUUGUUAAAAAAAGAAAAAAGAAAAACUCUGAUAAAUAUUUUAAAUAUAAUAUUUUCUUAAUAGUUAUUCAAACAAUAAUAUCAGACAGUGAUAUAUACAUAUAGCAGUUCGUUCUACUUUAAUCAUUGUGCUACUGUAUGUGUCUUUACUGAAGCUGCAGAUGGAAAAUCUAAUAUACAGUGUGGCCUUUGUUUAUCCAUGUUAAACAGUGCAAAGAAAGUGAUAGUGUUAAGAGGUUGUAUGGAAGAGGAGUGAAAUGAGAAGACAGGAUUGGAAUCAGAAACAGUAAUUAAACGGGGAAAAAUUGCAGAACGGUCAAAAUGGCAAUAUAAAGGGAAAGAAAGGGGUAAAAUGAUGGGACAGAGCUAUGGCGAGCUACCUGAUGAGCAUCUUCUGUGAGACCGACAUAACAUAACAUAACACUGUAUAGCUAUGAUUUCGUAGAGCUAUUUAUGUGGCUUUUAUUGCUGUCUCUGUCUUCUGGAAUGGACUAAUAGUAAUUGGAUUGGCCACUAGACCUACUGGAAUCUUUUGUUUUUGCAGUCUAGUUUGGUUCUCAACUCUCAAGCUUAUUCAUCUUCUUAACAGUUUGGUUAGACAUGACUGGUAGAAAUAAUAAUUUUUUAUUUUUCUCAAAAUUUGCUCUGACCUAUAAUUUUUUGGAUGUUCUGAAUUUGAUCUAUAUAUUUUUGUUAUUUAAACAGUCACGUGUACUUGUAUACAACAAUUUCUUUUAAAAUUUAUUUUUUUUAAAUACAUUCAUAAUUUUUUUUUUUUUAAUUUGUGCCUUCUACGUGCACACCAAUGAAGAUUUGCCAUUAAAUUCAUCCGAGAAAGACUUAAUUUCGAUUUAUGAGCAAAAUGAUUAAGAAUAACAUGCAAAAUGGUUCUUUUAUUAUUUUUCUAUGAAGUCUCCGUUCGAAGUGUUGAGUGGUGUGAUACUUAACAUUAUAAAAUAUUAUUCUUUUUUAAUGUUUGUAGAAAUAUUAAUAAAACAAUUGACCGUUAAUGGCAUUUAAAAAUUACUAAAUAACUAAUUUUAUUUGAUCGAAAUAGUAAGUGAGUGGCAACGUCAAUUUUUAUAAAAAUGAAAAUACAAAUUAGACAACUGAGGAGCAUAAAAAUAGUAAAGCUCUGUGAUGUGGGCCGGAAGUAAAUUAUGUCUAGUGUCUUUAUUUCGGGCUCAUAGGCUUUGCUAUGGGUUCAAGCUGGCAUGGCAUGGACUAAAGCAGAAUCAGGGCCCAAGGUGAUUAGUUCCGUAUACUGUGACUAAUAGCCCAUGUAAGCCCAUAUACUCCAUCCUUUAUUUCCAAGUCAAUAACUAUUUAAAACAUUAUUAUUUCUAUGAGAAAUUAUUUGACGUACCAUGCAUUGACAUCCACGUGCCAUUAGAAAGUACAAGGUCAUAAAUUAGCAAUUGCAUUUUUUCAAGAAAAAUCCAUUGUAUUCAUUAUCAACAAUGCACUAGAAAUCAUGCGAAUCUUGAAAAUUAAAUUAGUAGGGACGAUAUAUAAGAGCAAUAAUUCAAUGGAGGCAAAAUAUAAUAAAUAUAAAUUAACAUAAUUAUAUAUACUAAAAUAUAAUAAAUUAUAAACUGAACGGUAAAAAGCGAGUGGGGGCAAGUACCCCCAUUGUAAAUCCGCUCCUACUAGAAAUGUCUUUCCAUGUUAAAGUAUACUACGUUCUAUUAUGAUUUUCUAAGUAUAGCUUAAAAACUCUCUCUUAAAUACUUUCACCCAAAGCUAGAUUUCAAUAAAAAUUCAAGAGUAAUAAAUUUUAUCAAAAGAAUUUAAAGAAUAAUUUAUGUGUAAAUUCAGUUUAUAUCUUAUGAAUAUGAAUAUGAAAACUGACAUAUUUUAUAUGAUUGAUUUACUAAUUUUGGUUUCUUACGAAGAUAAAUAAAUACGAUUUGAUACGAGGGAAUGUAAAAGAUGCAUUAUUAAUCUUUUUAAUGAACAAAUGCGAAAGGACACUGUUUAUUACUUUUAUGGAUAUAUCAUGAUAAACACAAAUCUAAUUUGUGAAUCCAUUUCAAAAAGUUAAUGUAUUUAAAAAAACUCGAAAGAGAAAAAAAAAACGUGAAAUAAGUAGAAUUUUGCUUUAGAGUGUGAUUUACUCCUCAUAAAAUAUUUUAUACCAAAGUCUUUAAACUAUACAAAAAGCCACCAUAAAUGUAGCCUUGUCUUCCGUGACCAAAAAUUAUUAAAUGGUCACAAGAAAGAAACACACAUUUGGACAUCUUUGUCUUGCUGUCUUUGGAGUGUUCCUUUCGUUACUACAAUACUCUAUUGCAUUAAAAACUUGAUUAUUCGACAAAUAAUCUAAUCUUAUAACCCCAUCAUGCAAGAGAGGGAGAGAGUAGUAACCAAUUAGCAAAUGCCAUUUAAUCUUCAAUCCCCACAAUAGUCAUCUGUUCUCUUAAUUAGCUUAUAAUUAUUAUUAUUAUUAUUAUAUAAUUAAUAACAAGUCAUAAACCAAAGUUUGUUCCAAGGAAGAAGUGAAAUUCAAGCACAAGUAAGCAAAAAUAUUACAAAAUUACGGUGAUGAUGAUCGUUGAUUAUUAUAUUACAAGUACAAUUAUUUCAUUAUAUUGUAAUCAUUAUGGAAACCUUGAAGAUGUUAAAAUAUUCCACGUAAUCUUAUAGAUGCUCUAGUGUCACAUUGUUGGAUUUUUCACAUGUGGCAAACACCCAGAUGAGUUGUGCGGCAGGGACCCAGCAGUUGGCGGCUACAUGAAAGAGAGAGUUCAUAGCUCAUGGGUCCUAAAUGUAAAUUCAUGGUAUACGUGUAAAAGAACUAACAGCAUAGCUGCAUAGGAUUAACAUAAAAUGUGGUUGUGUUUGAUAAGGGUCCACCACGGUCACCAUUAUUGUGUGCACAAUGGGACAAGGUCUUGAUCUUUCACCAUUCUUUCUUUCUUAUUUUUUAUCAUAUUAUAAAUUAAUAUCUCGUAUCAUGUCUAUUCCUCAAUGGAAUUAAAGGUAAAUUACGCUUAAUUACUUUCUGUAUAUCACGUUAAAUCAUUACUUGAUGAUAUUAUUUGAAUGAUUAGAUUAUAAUAUUAUAUUCAAAAAUAAAGUUUAUAAUUUUCAAUCAUAAAUAAUUCAAAAAAAAAAAAAAUUCAAAUCACGUUCUUCAACAUCAUUUAAUAUAAUAUAGGCUCCAACUUAUCUUUCCAAAAAGAAAACAUAAAAUUAUAUACACAACUAUAUUAAUAACUCAAAAAAUAUAUUUUAAAUUGUGAUUCUAAAAUUUGGAACUCCAAUUAUUAAAAUAGAAAGUAAAACUCAAUUACAGGCCAAACCAAUUGUCUGUUUUGUUCUUCUGAUACAUAACUAUCAUGAAUAGAAUCUCUUGACAUGAGAAAUGUCGAUAUGCAUGUAGAGUUUCCUUCAAAGUGCUUUAAUCAUGCAUUCUCCAAUCAUCGUGUAUAGAAAACUCUAGACUAUAUAUAUUCCACUCACAGUCUCACACCAUUUAUCUAUGCCUCAUUGGAGUGUUGCAUACAAGAUAAUCCUAGCCGUCAACUAAAAUUUGAUCACUUGAAACUAAUUACUAAUACUUUGGAAUUUGGAUAGCAGUUUCUUAUGUAAGACAUGUUUUAAGAAUAAAUGGUUCAAAAUUAUUGAAAUUUUUAUAUGAAAUAUAGAGAAAAUGACGUGUUUAUAUAAAAAUUAAAAAAAGAUGCCACGUAUCUUAUGUAAGACAUGUGAUCCGAUUAUGAUGUGGCAAUUAGUGGCCCUUUAUGCAAUGGCAAUCUAAUAGACAGUUUUAAUGGUGGUCAGAAUGGCAGAUAAAAUACACGAGUAAGGAUCUAUUUGUAAUUACAAAAGUUCAAUUAUUGGCCGAAUCCAUGCGUACGAUAGCUAUAGUUUGCACUAUAUAAACCCCAAAAAUUAGAGAUGAACUUCACCAACCGCUUACUAAAAAUAAGCAUAUACACUAAAAAUCUCUCUAGACCUUCUUCCUCUCUCUUAUUCUCUGAAAAUGGAAAAACUAUGCAGUCCUUACAAAUUUAAAGAUAACUAUCCACAAAAAGCUAAGGGCAUGUCUUUCUUUGCCUUUAUUUUCUCCGUUUUUAUCUAUAUUUCUAUCUUUUAUAUCUUCAAACUAUCCCCUUCAAAGCUCUUCAAUAACACCCAGUUUUGGUUCUUUAUUUCCAACACUCUGAUAAUUAUCAUUUUAGUAGAUUAUGGUGCAUUUUCUUGUUACAAAGACAAACAACAUGAUUUUAAUUAUCAAGAAUACAUAAUAAGAAGGCGAACAGGUGCUCCAAUAUUCUCUAGACAAUCUUAUGACCCACAAAUUAUUAUAAGAACUUGCAUUCCUGCAGAAGAAGCUCAAGAAUCCAUUCAAGAAAAGAGGAUUAUGGCUCAUCAAAGAUUAAUCCCUGAAAAGAAAUUGACAACUUUCCCUGAAGGUCGACCUAGAACGGAAACGAGCACGAGCACGCAGACUGGCUUCGAUGGCAAUAUUAAUAAUGUUUGCGACAAGAAUACCAUUACUGCAAAAACAUUUCAACGUAGUCAAUCGGAGAUUAUUAAAAGGGUAGUGAUUGAUGAAAGCAAGAAUAUAAUUAGAAGAGUUGAAACAGAAAAGUAUGAGUCACCACAAAACGUUGAAAAUGGUGAUGAAGAAGAAGAUAAAAAUAAUGAAUAUGCAAAUAUGUCUAAUGAAGAAUUAAAUAAAAGAUUUGAAGAGUUUAUUCAGAAAUUCAAUAGUCAGAUCCGGCUUCAGAGAGAUUCUUAUUAGGCGAAUUUUGAGUAUAAAAAUUAAUUAAGAGAGGCUUCAGCUGGCUCGCUAGAAAUUUUGCUGUAAAAUCACCAGGAGAAAAAGAUAUAUUUUAAGUGAAUAGGAGGAGAUCUUCCAAGACAUUUUGCUGUGUCAUUUAGCUUAUGCUUUUGAUUGUGUCUUGUCCUCCACCAGCUUCUUUAUAGAUGGUUUUUAAAGUUUUCUUACUGUAAAUGCUUUAGACUUUGUGCAGACUUGUCUUUGUCAAUAAUAUUUUACUUUCUUUUCUUAAUCUCUCUUUUAACUUCUUCUAUGAUCCAUAUUCUGCAACUUGAACUUUUAAAUAUUUUUUAUGGUUUAAAUUUAUCGCAAGUACAAUCAAUUAAUUACUCUAUCAUAUGGAAUCUUUUUUUUUUUACUUUGAAAGAGGAUUUUGAUAAGAACAAAGGUGUUUUGCUAAGAAUUUUGGUCAACAAUUGAUAGUUGAUAAAAAUUUUAUGAGCUUUAUUUUGUCCUAUCAAUUGCUAGCUAGUUGGUGUUUUUAUUAUUUUUAAAUUUUAUUAACCUUAUGAAAGUGUAAUAAUGACUAAGAUUAUUAUAAUUUCUGAAUUUAAUAUUUUAUGAUCAUCUCUUUAUAAUUAAUUAAAGAUAAUAAAUACUUUCUCCAAAAAAAAAAAAUUAAAAGAACUAUUAAAUAUUAUAAAAUUUAAUACAAGGCAUUAAAAUAGAAAAUAAUAUAUUUAUCUUAAAAAUAAAAAAUAUACAUAUAUGUUACAUGAUAAUUUAUAAAAAUAAUAACACUAUUAAUGAUCAUUAUACACUUCAAUAGUAACUGCUACUAAAAUUUUAGUAAAUAUCAAUAUUCAUCGGUUAAACAUUAAAUUACCGUUUAAUCGUCAAGAAAUAAUUCAAAAGAGUGAGUCGAGCUUCUAAACCCUAGUUAUUCUUCAAGUUUUUCCCAUUCUCUCUCCAUAUGAUUGAUGUUUAGAUUUGAUUAGAUUGACCACUACUAAUAAUUGCACGGCAGCAGUCCAGUGGGUCGGUGACUGUCCUUUCUACAAGAUCAGGAUGAUCUUAAUGUAUAAUACGGCAGCCAACAUGAAAAGUACGUCUUCUCUAUCCAGAUUUUGAGAGUGUUGGAAAUAUUUAUUAAUACUUAUAUGUAGAAUUUGCUUUUGCAAUUUAAAACUUUUCUUGAAAAUAAAUCAAGAAAUUGAUAUUGACAAUUAACUGUAUAUAAGCCAGAUCGAUAUCUUGAUCUGGAAGACUUGUGAAUUGUUUUCUUGUAAAAUUGGGAAUUUUUUAUUCAAUUAAUUAAAUGUUGGAGUCGUUGUUAAUUUAUUUUUUUAGUAAUUUAAUUUCUAUAUUGAGUCAUUAACUAAAUACUUAGCAUCUUAAUGAUACUCUUAUUAUUAUUAUUAUUAUUAUUGAUAAAAAAUCAAAUGAAUCGGAAGAAUUUUGCUAAUUACAAAAUAGAGGUUUUAAAUGACAUUUAUCAUAAUGGUGAUAAUUUUUAUAGUAAAAAUGAUAUAAAUUUGAAAUCUCUCACCCACCUUAUUUUUUAUAAUAUCGCUUACCACUAAAUUUAUUAAUAUUAUUUUUCUUUUUAGAAAAAAAAAUGUGCUAAUUUUAUGUUAAUCAUAAUCAAUUAUGCCAAAACAAAACAAAAAAAAUCUCAAUUUUACUAUUUCAAUUUGCUACAUAGAAUAGAAUAGGAAAUGAAAUGUCAAUUUUCACUCCGUUAUUUAUUACAAAAAUGAAAGGGAAUAGCCCUUUUUUCCCAUAAAAAUACCAAAUAUACAUUUUUUUUUUAAAGAAAAAAAAGUUAAAAUUAUUCUUAUCUAAUGAUUUCUGAUUUCAUUUCUUCUUUAUCCAAACAAUCAAACAAAGGAAUAUAUAUCUGAAAUUUCUAUUUAAUUUACAUGCAAAACAUAAAAAAAAAAAAAAAAAUUCGUUCACAUUUUUAUUUCAUAUGAUUUUGAGUUGCAAACCUACUUUUGUAUUUUAAUUGGGCAUCCCAAAUCAUGAGACGGCUUUCUCUCUUUUUGUUAUGCAUGUUAUUUUCCAGGUGUGCUUGAUGGAGAAAUAUGAAGGAGGAAACUAGAAAAAUAAGUAGAAAGAUAUUUUUUUUCUUCAAUCAGACCUAUACGUACAUUUUCCCCUGAAAAGACAUCAAUUGAGGAGGUCCGUAGACUUGUUUAUAGUAUUGCCCCAUGUAGGUCAUUGCUUAACCUAUUUAGAAAACGACUUCACGUUCUCUAAACUGUUUAUAGAUUUGUACGCACUCGCUUUUUUAACUUCUUUUUAUUUUUUUCCCCUAAGAAAACCAAUCAUUGAUGUUACACUAUUUUUUUUAAAAAAAUUAUUUUUUUAUAAUGAAAAUGAUUAUCUUUUGUGGUUCUCGAGGAGGAAAAAGUGUGAUCGAGUAAAGUUUUUACUGACUCAAAUUUAAUCCAUUACUCGAUAGAUGAAACAGGUCAAACCUAUUAUUAUUAAACUUAUACAAUUAAUGAGUAAAUAUUAUUAUUACAUUAUUUAAAUUUUUUUUUGGCAAAUGAUUAAAGUAUAUUUAUAUAUAAAAAUUAAGAGGAAAAAGUUUAAUAGUUUAUUUUGCCUCUCAUAAACAAAAAUGGUUUCAAACCACAAAAUUUGAUAAAAGAAAAGAAAAUAAAAAACACUAGUUCAUCAGAAAGAUCAUUCGCCUACAUAAACAAUACAGAGAUGAUUAGUUUAGGUACUUCUAUUUAACAAAGACAAUUUAAGGAUAACGUGGAAAAAAGGACGGAUGAAAAAGAUCGGCAAGAGCAGAGGAAGAUUCAAAAGAGCACAAAAAUUAACGCAGUCGUUUGAUUGAUGGGACUAGUGCAUCAAAUCACAACCGGCCUUUUGUGUCGUUUAGUUAAUUUAGUUAACAGACAAGAUUAUUUAAAGAUAAUCUAUAUGUCAUGAUGUUUAAUGGUUUGAGCAAAUAAUUAAUUUGGUUUAAGAUUUUUUUUUUUUUUUAAUACAGAGGAGGGGUAAAUCUCAGAAAAGAAACUACAAACACCGUUGUAGUGCCUCUUUCACAGUAUAUUAGUAGCUAGUUAUUCUAUUAUCAGUUAGGAAUUAACUUUUUGCUUGUAGUUAUUUAUAUAUCGUAUUAAAUUAGAAGCGUUCGAUAAAAAAUAGUUGUUUAAUUUAAAAUGAUAAAAAAUAAAAAUUAAACGAUUAAUUAGUUUAAUUUGGGAGAAAAACAAUGAGUAUGAUUACUAAAAAAAAAUUCAAUUAAUUUAUGUGAGGGGAAGAGAGAGGAAGUGAAAUAACAGUAUAAAACGACGCUAAUGUUAUGUUUAAUCCGCUAUUUUCACACUCCUUGAUAUUUUUCAAGGAAUUUUAAAAAUUUCAAGAUAUUUUCACUCUCUAUUUUAAAUCCACCUAUAUUUUACCUCCAUUCAAACAACCCAUAAGCAUUAGAAUAUUUAAUAUUUUAUAGAAAACUCAUCAACCUCUAAAAGUUAUGUCACCGAAUAACAUAAUUAAUAGAGAUAGAGUUUUGACUUUUUCAAAACGAUAAAAACAUUAAGAUAUUUAAUGUUUUAUAAAAGUUCAUCAACUUCUAAGAUUUACUUAACAAUUUAAUUAGAAGAGAUAAAGAGCUUUGACUUGAUCAAAACACAUUUUAUAAAAAUCUCGUCAACUUCUAAAAGCUAUCUUACUAAACAAUAUAAUGAAUAAAGAUAAAGCUUUAAUUUGAUUAAAACGAUAAAAGUCAGUUUAAAGUUGUUGCCAAAUAAGACCUUAUUCGUUACGAAAUCAGACUUUUCAUCCCAGUAUAUGGUAUAUAGAGUAUCUAAAAAAAAGAUAAGAGUGAGAAUAUAUGUCCAACCACUAUCCACAGCUAAUUGGCUAACUUGUCUGCAAUCUGGUUAUAACAAUGUUGAAGCACAACAAUCCAAUCACAAGCCAAAAGGAGACCGACGUUAAGAAAUCAGAUUAAAAACUAUCUAUCUGUGUCCCAUAUAUAUCCCAUGCUAAUGAAAGACAGUUAAUAAGAGCUUGGAGCUCAACUUCCAUACAAGUACGAAUUUCUAGCCAAAUAAAGGAAAAAAAAAAAAACCACAACAGAAACUCCAUGGGAAUCAUAAAUAAUAAUAAAUUAUAUAUAACACUGUUAUUGGGCCAGGUUUAGGGUUGUUGGUCUUAUUUCAUAACAAGACCCACAUAAACGGCCCAGGAAGGCAGGGAUAUUUCUAAACCAAACCCCAAUAUGCAAAAGCCCAAAUUUACCCAACUACAAAACUCUUGACCUGUCGUUCACGUUGUUCGUAUAAAACGAACUACAAAGCAACUGUCGUUUCAUUGACAAACAAAGCUCGACAAAAGAACACUUUCCCUCUGUCCUUCAGAGAGUUAAGGGACGAAUUUCCUUCAUGUUCUGAGACGAAACAAGGAAAAUCCAACGCGAAAGGCCAGAUUCAUCAAAUUUCAGAAAGUAUCAACCGGGAAUUCGAUUUUGGCAAGAAAUGCACUGAUCAUCUAUUAGCAGAUCAAUUGGAGAGCCCUAAUUCUAUUUUGUCGGAGAUUGUUCAACUGCAGUCAACUUCUGUUUUGGCGGCAAACUAUGACAAGUCACGUACCUAAUGAUGGAAUGGGAGAGCCCUAAUUUUAGUCAAAUUUGGAUUUUCUUUCUUUCUUUCUACCUAAUGGGUAUGCAAACAAAAAAAUUGGGUCUCAAAUGGAUCCAAGAUAUCAAACCCGUAUGGUUAAGCCCAAGAAAGAGCAGGUCUUUCCAACUAGGUCCAGUUCCCUGCUUUUAUCUUCAGUUUUUUAAGAUCACAGAACGGUUUGUCAGUUGCAUAAUAGAGACAGAGUAGCAUGAUGGUGUUAGGCUCUUUGCAUGGCAUUUCCUCUACAUUUUCACUCAAGGGAACCUCCUCUUCCUCUUCAAAUUCUCAGGAUUCCUCAAAUAAAAUUCUCAUUCUUACGAGGAGAAGAGCAGCAGCCUUUGGUUCCAGUUUGGUAUUGGCUUCUCUGCUCAAUUUGCAAAAUCUCCAUUCAAAACCACUUUCUUUUAAUUAUGCUAUUGCUCAAGAAGAUGAACUUGAGAAAGAAGAGCAUAGAAUUGUUAAUCUUUUCCAGGUUUCUUUCUUUAUAUCACAUUUUAAUUUUCGCCUAUAGCUCUAAUUUGAUAACCCGUCAAGCUUCUUGCUUGAUUUAUUUUUUUAUGUUUGACUAAAUUUUAUUCUUGUUUUCCCCAUACUGUUGCAGAUAACUUCACCAUCAGUUGUUUUCAUUAAGGAUCUUGAAUUAGCUAAAAGCCCUGAAAGCUCGUCCUUUGAUGUUGCGUUUACUGAGGAUGAAAAUGCCAAAGUUGAGGGGACAGGUUCGGGCUUCAUUUGGGAUAAGUUUGGUCACAUUGUAAGCUUUCCCUUCUUUUGUUUCUUAUAGGUCUAUAAAUUUAUAUUGUAGAAUUUAUAAAAGUGAUCACCAUUUAUAAACUAUUAGCAGAUAACUUCAUUAGAUCUGCUAAUUGUUAAGAAUUUUAAUUAAUGUCGACGCACUUGCUCAUAUCCAAGUGAAUUUUGAUUUUGCUUGCUUCACUGUAAUUCUUUCUUUCAGCUCAAGUGAUUCUUUCAGAUAUUUCAAUAUUUGACAGGUAACGAACUACCAUGUUGUUGAUAAAUUGGCAACGGAUAAGAGCGGAUUACAGCGUUGUAAGGUCUUGUCCAUUUUUAGUUAUCAUGUGUUUAAUGAUUAUUUAUCUCAAUUUGUUACUCCAAGUGGUCAAACUGUAUUCCUUGGGUUUUGGUCAUCCGCCUGAGCAGCAUUUUAUUCUUGGUCUCCUCUUUCAUAGGUCUUUCUAGUUGAUGCUGGAGGCAAUGGCUUGUAUAGGGAAGGCAAGAUCAUUGGUUUUGAUCCAGCUUAUGAUCUGGCUGUUCUUAAGGUAUCCAGUUGGACUUGUGCAUUGAAAAUAUUUUAAACUUAUUUUUGAUACAUGGAGAGUUCAAAUUC